UACGUAGGGUGCGAGCGUUAAUCGGAAUUACUGGGCGUAAAGCGUGCGCAGGCGGUUGUGCAAGACAGAUGUGAAAUCCCCGGGCUUAACCUGGGAAUUGCAUUUGUGACUGCACGGCUAGAGUGUGUCAGAGGGGGGUAGAAUUCCACGUGUAGCAGUGAAAUGCGUAGAGAUGUGGAGGAAUACCGAUGGCGAAGGCAGCCCCCUGGGAUAACACUGACGCUCAUGCACGAAAGCGUGGGGAGCAAACAGG
rnacentral:rRNA from 1 species